GAUUUUGCCGGCUAGAUCUGAUAGUUAGUUAACUACUCCGUAGUUAACUACGGAGUAGAGAUAAGUUAGAUGACACAUCCUCCCACAUCUACAGCGCGUCUCCUUCUCACCUUCGCCUUUCGGCCACAUUCCGAGUGUUUAUUUUCUUUUUUCUACAAGUUCGCAGCUAAACCUUUUUUUCUUUUCUUUUUUUUCUUUUUGAUGAUACAUAAGCUUUAUAUUAUUGGCUAACUUUAUGUGGGACAUUACUCGGAUCUACAUGCCACCGAAUCAUGUGACUUGCACCACUCCAAUUAGCUGGAAUAUCAAUACUCCGGAUAUUUGGCAUCAAAUGCUCUUAUGUGGGAGAAAUAUCAAGGUAGGCCACCGUAUUUAAAAAGUAGAGAACAAGAGGAGAGGACAAAAUAAAAACACCCAAUUGAGAACAGCUUGUCCGUAUCGAUCGUGGAAACAUGGAUAGUGUGCACCGCGAACAAAACUUGUCUGCUAGGUGGAUCGAUUCCGGUGACAAAUUAGCUUGCGAAGAAUAUAUAUGGGGUCAAAAGGGAAAGCAUUGACGCACAUCCAAACCAAGGACAGGUCGGGUCAGGUCCAGUUUCAAAGCGAAUUCAAAACAUAAAUUAUACAAGUAGAUAUCGAAUAUACAUACACACGCACACCACACGCACAUACAUAGAUAAAGAAUAAAAUAAAAACUUAAGAAAAAUAUAAUGAAAUAAAACCAAACAAUUGGCGAUACCGGCA
rnacentral:sRNA from 1 species